rnacentral:rRNA from 1 species
UAUGUGAUCGUCUCUCGCAUAUCAAUAAGCGGAGGAAAAGAAACUAACAAGGAUUCCCCUAGUAACGGCGAGUGAAGCGGGAAGAGCUCAAAUUUGAAAUCUUAAAGGGUUUCCCUUUACGAAUUGUAGUUUAAAGAAGUGUUUUCUGUUGAGGUUUUGGUAAAAGUUCUUUGGAAUAGGACAUCAUAGAGGGUGAGAAUCCCGUAUUUGACCUUUACUUUCAACUUUGUGAUACACUUUCAAAGAGUCGGAUUGUUUGGGAAUGCAGUCCAAAAUGGGUGGUAAAUUUCAUCUAAAGCUAAAUAUUGGCGAGAGACCGAUAGCGAACAAGUACCGUGAGGGAAAGAUGAAAAGAACUUUGAAAAGAGAGUUAAACAGUACGUGAAAUUGUCAAAAGGGAAGCGUUUGACACCAGUGUUGUUUUUCUGAAAAUCAAUUAAAGAACUGUUUAUGCUAAGUUGUUUAGACUUUAUCAGCUAAUCUGCUUAGUUUUGAGCUUUUCUUUAAUGCACUUUUCAGUUAACAAGUCAACAUCAAUUUCUUUUGCUGUAAAAAAGCUUGAGGAAGGUGGCUAGAGAUUCGUCUUAAGUGUUUAUAGCCUCUUGCCUAUGCAGUCGGAGAGAUUGAGGCCUGCAGCGUAGAUCCUUCGGGGCUAAAUGCAUUUGUGCUAAGUUAUAGCAUUUUAUAGACAACUUGUUGACUAUGAUUUGUCUUGUAGCUUACUCGCUUAUGUUAUUUUACCUACGCUUAGGAUGUUGAGUAGCGACAUACGCAC